rnacentral:tRNA from 1 species
GACGCGGUGCCGGAGUCUGGUUGAACGGGAUGGACUGCAAAUCCAUAAGCGAAAGCUCAUCACAGGUUCAAAUCCUGUUCGCGUCUCCA